rnacentral:rRNA from 1 species
AGCAGCCGCCACGGUAAUACGAAGGGGGCUAGCGUUGUUCGGAUUUACUGGGCGUAAAGGGCGCGUAGGCGGACUGAUAAGUCAGGGGUGAAAUCCCAAGGCUCAACCUUGGAACUGCCUUUGAUACUGUUUGUCUUGAGUUCGAGAGAGGUGAGUGGAACUCCGAGUGUAGAGGUGAAAUUCGUAGAUAUUCGGAAGAACACCAGUGGCGAAAGCGACUCACUGGCCCAUUACUGACGCUGAGGCUCGAAAGCGUGGGGAGCAAACAGGAUUAGAUACCCCUGUAGUCCCUGUCUCUUAUAC